AGCUUGCUUCUUUGCUGACGAGCGGCGGACGGGUGAGUAAUACUUGGGAACUUGCCUCUAGGCGGGGGACAACCGCUGGAAACGGUGGCUAAUACCGCAUAAUGUCUACGGACCAAAGUGGGGGACCUUCGGGCCUCACACCUAGAGAUGGGCCCAAGUGGGAUUAGCUAGUUGGUGAGGUAAAGGCUCACCAAGGCGACGAUCCCUAGCUGUUCUGAGAGGAUGAUCAGCCACACUGGGACUGAGACACGGCCCACACUCCUACGGGAGGCAGCAGUGGGGAAUAUUGCACAAUGGGCGCAAGCCUGAUGCAGCCAUGCCGCGUGUGUGAAGAAGGCCUUCGGGUUGUAAAGCACUUUCAGUGGUGAGGAAGGUCAGUAAGUUAAUAGCUUGCUGAAUUGACGUUAGCCACAGAAGAAGCACCGGCUAACUCCGUGCCACCAGCCGCGGUAAUACGGAGGGUGCAAGCGUUAAUCGGAAUUACUGGGCGUAAAGCGUACGUAGGCGGUGUGUUAAGCAAGAUGUGAAAGCCCCGGGCUCAACCUGGGAAUUGCAUUUUGAACUGGCACGCUAGAGUCCUGAAGAGGGUGGUAGAAUUUCCAGUGUAGCGGUGAAAUGCGUAUAUAUUGUGAAGGAAUACCAGUGGCGAAGGCGGCCACCUGGUCAGACACUGACGCUGAGGUACGAAAGCGUGGGGAGCAAACAGGAUUACAU
rnacentral:rRNA from 1 species